rnacentral:misc_RNA from 1 species
GACAAUAUCUAUUGGCUGUGGAGGUGCCUCUUAAAAUUGUAAUGCUUUUGAGCAUUUGGAGCUUAUGUGCUUUUAGCUAAUUUUGGUUAGAUUUCGCUAUUAAAUAUGGGAAGCUCUCGUUCAUCGCGAAGCCCAUUAAAACGGCACCAUCAUAAAAGCAAGCAUAAAAAGAGAGGAAAAGACCGGGAUAGACGUAAGAAUGGUGUGCAUGGAAGUGAUCGGUCUGAAGAAAAAUAUCGGAAUACUAUUUCUAUAAAUAAAAAAAAUAAAUGCAAGGACUCUAUAAAUCAUGAAUUUGAAAAAGAUGUUCGGGAAACUAGUCAUUCAAAAUAUAGAAAACAGACGUAUAUUGCCAAUAGCUCUAGUGACAGUCAAGAUUCGGAAGAAUAUUGCACUUAUAGGGUUGACAAAAAACGUAAGCGACAAAAAGAAAUUGAAACAAGUCUUGACGAACAAAUCAACAGAACUAAGCGACAAGAAGAUGAAGAGAGGCAGAUAAUUAAAGAUGAGACCAGUAAGCGCAUUGAGCUAUUGGUUAAAAAACGUGUAGAAGAAGAACUAAUAAGGCGUAAGGAUGAAAUUGAAAAAGAAGUAAUGCGUAGAGUAGAAGCCGCCAAAUCUGAAAUGGAGAGGGAGCUGAUGUUCGAAUUGGAAAAACAACGGGAGCAAAUUCGUGAAGAAGCUCGUCAUCGAGAGGAGUUCGAGAAAAAGAAAAGAGAGGAACUGGAAGAUAUAUUUGCUGAAAACAACCGAAGAAUAGAAGAAGCCCAACGGAAAUUGGGCUAUCAUCACAACACCGAUGAUGCGUCGUUAAAUGUGGCCAAACAAAAUGUGCUGCUGCCUGGCGUGGUUGGUUUGAUAUAGAGCGAGGAUGCAAUCGAUGCGGUUAAUAAAGGUCUAUACUGAGUUCGGGUUGCCGUCAAAUCUUUCUACGUCCCCUAUUGGGCUGAAGAACGAUUAGCGAUGAUAGAAGAGCAACGUCUCAUGGAAGAGAAACGUCAGCGAAUGCGUAAAGAAGAAGAAAAGCGUG